rnacentral:lncRNA from 1 species
CCCUGCUGACGUGGAUAAGUGGACACGGCUUUUCCAGUGUACGCUUUCAUCCAUCGAAAGCGUAUUUCCUUGAAUGCGCGUUCUGUUUUUUUAGCCGAGGGCCUGUUUGUGAUCAUUUCUUUACAGAUAGGUCCCUGGCAGAAAAACGUUCAUAUCUUUUUACCCGUAGCUCCAAAUCAGGUGAUUCCAAAGCCCACUUCUUUGUUUCGUCGAGCCCGUUCUGAUGGAACCAUUUUCACCAUGUUUUAACAUUUUGAAAAUGACCAUUAUGCCCUUGCCCUUAUUCAGCCCCCUCCGAGAGAGAACGAUUUCCGGCAAUUCUUUCCGCGAGCUUCUCGCACUUUCUCCCGGUGAUUUCUUCCACCCUAGGCAAGGCACACCCUCCAUUUGGUUUAAUUUAUUUGAACUUGUUUAAAAUAUUGCUUUAGCUACAUGACUAUGUGCAUGGCAUUUUCUUGGAGUAUUAUUUUGAUCUUGCUGUUGCCAUGCUGUUGUUUAGAUUACUAGGAGUUAUGUUUGCAAUUGUUGAGUAUCAUGUUGUCAUUGGAGUAUUAGUGGUUGGUAUUAUGAUUGUUUCAUGAUGAUAUCUGUUAUUAUAUUUUGGAGUAUUACUUUGGAUAUCAUGCUGCCUUUGGAUUAUAGUAUGAUUAUUUUCAUGAUGCCAGUUGAUGUUCUGUUGCUUGGAGUAUUAUUCUCGAAGAUGAUGUUUACAUGUGGAUCUUAGCUGAAUAGCUUUAUUCUUGUUAUUGAAGUAGUAGGAUUAUUGUUUUCGGAUUCAUCAUGACAGUAGUGUUGUGCUACCCUUGGAGUAUUUUGAGAUGUCGAUAUUAUGCUUGGAUUAUUUCUUGGAUAUUGCUAUGACUUGGAUUCUAGUUUGAUAGUUGAUAUCGGAGUAUUAGUUAUCACAGUUAUAUUUUGGGGUUAAAUUCCGUCAUUAAGUUGGUCAGGUGCCACCGAACCGGGCUUUUCCAGUGCAACCCCAUUUGCCUUUUAUGGGAAGGCCCUAAUGCGAUGCUAUUGUCGUGCCUCUCGCCGGUGCCUCCAACGAGGGAAGGCUAUGGGCGUGCGGUACCCUGGCCCGGUAAGCAGACAUAACCUUGUGUGCCUGUAGUUGGUAUUGAGAUCUCUUGUCCCUGUUUGGGACCAUUUUGCCACGACGGUGGUCGUUGGUGUCUGGGGUAGACACGGGGCCACCCAUGACUUAGCCCAGUGUGGAGUUAGUCGGAGUGGCCGGGAGAGUGUCAUGGCAGUAGAUCGGUUUUGUCGGAAUGCCGUUGGUCCACCCGAAUGGGAGUGCAAGGCCAUGGGUUCCGUGGUGUGGGUAAAGUGCGCUACCUCUGCAGAGAGUGUGUGUGUUUAAUCUAUCGAUAGUCGUGUCCUCGGUCAUGGGCAUAAGUUCGUGCUAGGUCACACCGUUCGAUCAACACUCACAUGACGAAAUGACUUAUAGGUGAUGUAUAUGUUGAUAUUGUGAGCUGUAACAGUUUGGCAGGAUAAUGAUGAUGAUGAUGAUGUUGGGAUGAUCUUGAGAAGGAUCAUUCAAUUUCUGAUGUGGUCACAAGGUGAUCAUGUGGAUGUUCCGUUUGUGAUCCGUAAGUGCUCACCAUUUUGCUUUGGUCACGAGGUGAUCGAGAUGGUAUAUUGCUUGGCCGGUUAGCCAAGUGUGAGAUGGUUCAUGUGGUACUUGAGAUUUGAGAUGAUGGCUUAUCAGUAUUCUAGUAGUUCAUAUCGUGAUUAUUAGUUGCUUGGUUGUUGUCUUGCAUUGAUGUUUUUGGUUGUUGUGAGCUUGCAAGUACAUUCAAUGUACUGACCUGGCGUGUCAUGCCAGAUUGUAGGUGAUGCAGUGAUUGCUUGAUUGCUUGCCGUGGUUUCCGUUCGUGCGAGCUAGAUCGUGUCCCAGCCAGAGUCCCUGCAGAGUGGAGUUCACCACCUUCGUCGUUGUUCCGUUGCUAGAAGAUUUUCGCUGCUACGAGUUGUUCCGCUGCUAGCAUAGAGCAAGUGUAGUAUCGCAGGCAUAGUGUCGUUGUGAUGAUGUGCUUCUUUGUAACAUCAGACCCUUGUAUUAUUAUUCUUGUAAUAAGAGCUGAUUUGUUCUAUGUCAAUCCAGAGACUUCUCCUCGAUCUCUGGGCUGGAAUACGGGGCGUUCCGAUUUCUCUGAGUCGGGGUGCCACACAUGCAGAAAAUAACAACUGGCACUUGGCACUAUGUCAAUAGGUUAGUACCAAAAAAUGAUAUAAAAUGACUAUAAAAUGAUUGUAAAACAUCCAACAAUGAUAAUAUAACAACAUG